CUGGGGAUCUUCUGAUUAGUCUCUGAAUCCCUCUCUCAUUUCUCUAAGGGCGAGAGCUUUGGAGAAAGGACUGAUCCUGGUGGAAUCGUCAGGUGAUGAAAAUGGAGAUCCCAGGUCUGCCAGAAAAAAAGAGAGUCGCUGGGUUAAAGACCAUCCAUAGAGUAUCCUCAGGAGCCCUGACCUGAAGAUGGACAAGCCACAGGGUGGAAGGAGCUGCAUCUGAGUCACCACUGGAGAAUAAUUACCCUCAAUGGAUUUGAAGAAAAGUCUUCUCUAAUACCCACUUUUGUUUAUUUAUUUAUUUAAUGAUUUUUAUUUUUUUCCAUUAUAGCUGGUUUACAGUGUUCUGUCAAUUUUGUACCAUACAGCAAGGUGACUCAGUCACACAUACAUGUAUACAUUCUUUUUUCUCACAAUAUCAUGCUCCAUCAUAAGCAAUGAGAUCCUGCUGUAUAGCACAGGGAACUCUAUCUAAUACCCACUUUUAAGACCCAGUUGUAAUCCACUUCUUUUAUUCUCCUGGUACUCGGCAUGGUUGGGGGGCAAUUCUAGACCCCCACAAUAUCUUGGUGAUGGAUAUUAAGGAAAAGGCCUUUACAUAUAUUUGAGGCAAAGCGGAUCAGGACCAGCAGAGCAGCUAAAACAGUAAGCCUCCACAGGGUAAGGCAGGCCCUUGCAGAAUGGCAGAGUGGUGGCUCAGAGGUGGGCAGUGCUGUCAGGAUGGCUGCCAGCAUCCUCCAGAGACCAGCAGAGCCACUGAGAGAAACCGAUAAAAAGCUCUACCCACGGCAGUCACAAAGGAUUGGGCUCAAAUGGUGGGUUAAGUCAGGGAUUAAAAUCUCCAUUUUAUUGAUGAAGAAAUUAAGUUCUAUAGCAAGUAGAAUGUUUGUUUUUCUACCUAGUUGAGUACUUAGUUCACAGUAGAUGCACAAUAAAUAUUUGUUGAAUGAAUGAAUGAUUCUCCAGUCUAAGAUCUUUAAUGCUGAAGCCUUUUACCAGGGAUUGAGAACUUGCCUGUCUGGUGGUAUACGAAGGGGUAGGGCACUGGUACCAAAGACAAACACCUUUUGGCUGGUACAGAAUGUUAGUGUGCCCUAGGCCCUAGCACUCCCAGUUGCCUUAGGACUCAACCAGUUUACAUGCUUAUGUCAUCCAGCUCUUGUGGGCUUUUUAAAUUUAUUUUUAAGGGCCACACCUCUUUAUUUUUAAAGAGGUUCCUGGGCUAGGGGUGAAUCAGGCUGCAGCUUCUGGCCUACGCCACUGCCAGAGCAACAUUGGGUCCAAGCCACAUCUGUGACCUACACUGAAGCUUAUGGCAACGCCAGAUCUUUAAACCACUGAGCGAGGCCAGGGAUCAAACCUCCAUCCUCAUGGGUACUAGUCGCAUUUUUAACCUGCUGAGCCACAGCAGGAACUCCUGCUGUGGGCUUCAGUUGUGUGGAAUCUCUUCCUAUACUUCCUAGAACUUAUUGUUACCCCUACUGGUUUGCCCUCUCCCUUCUUCUUCCUGCCCUUGCCUUCCCACCCUCUCCCUCCCAUAUCUAUCCACAUACAUCUUCUAUAUUUUCUGGAGUGUUUUUAAUGUUUUAAGCAUAAAUCCAUUAUGCAUAAUAUGAUGAACUAGGAAACCUAAGCAAAGAACAGAGUUGUGCCAGGUGUAACUUAUACAAGCUACACAUAUUUAAACAUAUAUAAAUAUUUUUGUACCUUGUAGUUAUUAGACACAUGCUAUGAGCAGUACUUAUAGAUUAUACUUAAUGUAACCCUUAAAAACAUGUCAUGUUUUAUAGUUACUGUUUUUACCAGCUGCUAUUAACUACCUGGGCAUCUUGCAUGGGCUGCCUUAUUGUAUUGUUUUCCUAUCUGCUGAAGGAGGGGUUAGAAGGCAUGGAAUACUCCGCGGUGAAAAAGAACAAAGUAAUGCCAUUUGCAGCAACAUGGAUGGAACUAGAGACUCUCAUACCAAGUGAAAUAAGUCAGAAAGAGAAAGACAAAUACCAUAUGAUAUCACUUACAUCUGGAAUCUAAUAUACAACACAAAUGAAUGUUUCCACAGGAAAAAAACUCAUGGACUUGGAGAACAGACUUGUGGUUGCCAAGGGGGAGAGGGUGGGACUGAGAUGGACUGGGAGUCUGGGGUUAAUAGAUGAACACUGUUGCAUUUGGAGUGGGUAAGCAAUGAGAUCCUGCUGUGUAGCACAGGGAACUACAUCUAGUCACUUGUGAUGGAACACGAUGGAGGAUAGUGUGAGAAUAAUAUAUGUGUAUGUAUGUAUGACUAGGUCACUGCCGUACAGUAGAAAUUGGCAGAACACUGUAAAUCAACUAUAAUGGAGAAAAUAAAAAUCAUAUAUAAAAAUAUAAAUAAAAUCUAAG
ensembl:lncRNA